rnacentral:rRNA from 1 species
GACGAACGCUGGCGGCGUGCUUAACACAUGCAAGUCGAACGGAAAGGCCCUGCUUUUGCGGGGUGCUCGAGUGGCGAACGGGUGAGUAACACGUGAGUAACCUGCCCUUGACUUUGGGAUAACUUCAGGAAACUGGGGCUAAUACCGGAUAGGAGCUCCUGCUGCAUGGUGGGGGUUGGAAAGUUUCGGCGGUUGGGGAUGGACUCGCGGCUUAUCAGCUUGUUGGUGGGGUAGUGGCUUACCAAGGCUUUGACGGGUAGCCGGCCUGAGAGGGUGACCGGCCACAUUGGGACUGAGAUACGGCCCAGACUCCUACGGGAGGCAGCAGUGGGGAUAUUGCACAAUGGGCGGAAGCCUGAUGCAGCAACGCCGCGUGCGGGAUGACGGCCUUCGGGUUGUAAACCGCUUUCGCCUGUGACGAAGCGUGAGUGACGGUAAUGGGUAAAGAAGCACCGGCUAACUACGUG